ensembl:lncRNA
AUGAGUCAAGUAGUGAGCUCGAGUCCAUUCAGUUCAGUUUUGCUGCCAAAUGAACUUACUUCAAAUUUAUAUUUUUUAAAAAUUCUGCUUAGAUUUCCAGGGCACUUUGAAUUUGGGGAUUGUGGACCAUGGACCGUGGAAUUCGAUGUGGAAGACUCCUUCCUGGAAUAUGGGCAGGCUCAUGAGUGUAGCACUGGUCAAUGAAAUGUGAGUGGAUGUGGCUUAUGUAUCCAAUUCUGGGCUUAGACAGUUAAAAGCCCAGACACGAUUCUUCAGUUUCUUUUCCUGUGUCACAGAAACCAAGAAAUUCAUAUGUUUUGCAAGCUGCAGUUAUAAGGUCAGGGUGAGGGGGGCCCAUGUGGGCCUGGGCUCUUGAGUGACUGUGGAGCAGAGCUGCACUGACUCUUAUCCAUUGGUAGCACAAGUGAAAAAUAAACUUCUGUGGUGUGAAGUCACUGAGAUUCAGGAGUGGUUACCAAAGCAGAGCCGAGCUCAGUGGCUCUCAGUCUGGACCCAGGUGAGUAUCUGAGGAUGCUUUACAGAUGCAAACCCUCAGCCUUCACCCUAGGCAAGCUGAAUCAGAGGCUGAGUGUGGGGCCAGCAAUCUGGGUUUUAACAACUCCCCCAGGUAAUUCUGAUCUAGCUCAGGCUUGAGAACCACAGCUGUAAUUGAUCUUGAAUGAAACAGGUGCCAGAAGCCUCAGGUGAGAUCCCACUCUCCAGUUACACAGGGAGCUUGCCCCAGACGCCACCAGUGUUUGGGAUGAUCCAUUCUGCUUUACUUCUUUCCUUUGUAGAGAUAUUUAAGCACUAAACACCUGAGAAUAUUUAACUACAAAUACACUGAUGUGGUUUGGCUGUGUCCCCACCCCAAUGUCAUCUUGAAUUGUAGCUCCCACAAUUCCCAUGUGUUGUGGGAGAAACCUGGUGGGAAAUAAUUGAAUCAUUGGGGCGCUUUCCCCCAGACUGUUCUCAUUGUGGUGAAUAAGUCUCACGAGAUCUGAUGGUUUCAUAAGGGGAAACCCCUUUCGUUUGACUCUCAUUCUUUUUUUGCCUGCCACCACCGAGGACGUACCUUUGGUCUUCCCUCGUCUCCCACCAUGAUGGUGAGGCCUCCACAGCCCUGCUGAACUGUGAGUCAGUUAAACGUCUUUGUUUUGUAAAUUCCCCAGUCUCGAGUAUGUCUUUAUCAGCAGCGUGAAAACGGACUAAUACAUAUACUAAGGCCCAAGCUACUUACCCAAAGUUAAGAAAUCACCCGGAAAUAAGUUCCGUUGUAGCUUUAAGAUGGUGAAUGCUUUCUAGAUCUUCCUGGGUAUGACUGAAACCAUCAGGUUCUUUGUGCUCUUUCUCAUUCUUUGCUUGAGAGCCCCUCUCUGAAGCAGAGAAGAGCUUGAUGAUCCCUAUUUCACAGAGGAGGGAAGGUAUUUAUCCACAGUCUGGAGACACAGCUUUGCCUUGUAUACACAGCCCUAAUGCUGUGCCUCACGCAAGCAGUAUUCAGUAAAGGGCUGAAGAAAAAUGAUACAAAGACAUUUGCUGGCCUCACACAUUGCUUAAUUGUCUGAGCUUAGCUGGGUCUCAGUCGGGUGCUCAUCGCUGUGCCCGGGCGGGUGCCCCCAGAACUGAGGUUGAGGGCGGAGGCACAGCUAAGGGUAGACACGGGAAGGACAAAGCAAAGGACUGGGAAGGAACAAUCGGAUCCAGCCCUCUCUGAGCUUUUGCAAGGCAGAGCCGUCCCAGAGAAGUGAGAGCCUGUGGUCAGCAGGGGGCAGUGUUGUUCUAACAAAUACUUCAAUAAUGGCUUGUGAGAAGGCGGCCCGCGCACCUGAGCUUUGACAGUACUGAUGGAAUUGAAUUGAUGGAGGCCAGAGGGUCUGGUCCAUUUAAAAAACAAAAACAAAUACUGGGCAUUUUCUGUAUAAUUCCUUCAAUUUUUCUUGCUGCAAAAUAUUAUAAUAAAAUUUUGGAAGAAAAAAGAGGAUGGAGCCUUAGGCUGUGCCUGUCUCAGUCCUGCGGCUGGGGGGUGGUGCACCCAUCCGGGUCUGGACCGUAGCCCCUGGGGGCAGUGCUGUGGGUCAUCACGGAGCGUCUUAUUCUUGAUACUCAUCGUAUUCUCCCUGUCCAGAGGUGUGCCCCUGCCCGCUCUCUUCUUUGCUUGCUCCCCUUUCUUCUCUGCUAUUUCUCCCUCUUCCUGUCUCCCUCAUACUCUCUCCUCUCCCUAUCUAAGUGUGAGUCAAGUGGAUGGCUCAUGAGUCAGCGGGACCGUACUUCGUGUAUGAGGGGGUAGGUGCGAAAGACACCACAGAUACAGUCCCUUCAGAGUUUAUAGUCUUGGGAAGACAAACCCACAGAGGCAGAACUUAGAGAAGGCAGGCAGGAAAACACUGAAAUCAUGUUCUCUGGGCCAUAGGACACACGCAAGUUCGAAUCUCGGAUUCAAACCUUGGCAAAGGCUCUCUGGUUGUUCAGGACUUCCUCAUCAUGAGCUUUCUGGAAGGCACUUCUUCCAUGUCCAAACAUCCUGCGGGGUUUGCCGAGAUAGAGUCCAUUCCUGUACCCAAGAGACAAAGUGGCGGAUUUCUUGAUUUGGC